rnacentral:misc_RNA from 1 species
GAUGAAGAACGCAGCGAAAUGCGAUAAGUAAUGUGAAUUGCAGAAUUCAGUGAAUCAUCGAAUCUUUGAACGCACAUUGCGCCUGCCAGUAUUCUGGCGGGCAUGCCUGUCUGAGCGUCAUUUCAACCCUCAAGCAACUUCUGCUUGGUGUUGGGGAUCGGCCGUCAAACGCCGCCCCCGAAAUCUAUUGGCGAUCUCGCUGUAGCUUCCUAUGCGUAGUAGUAACAUCUCGCAUCUGGAGAGCGGCGCGGUCAUGCCGUAAAACACCCAACUUCUCAGGUUGACCUCAGAUCAGGUAGGAAUACCCGCUGAACUUAAGCAUAUCAAUAAGCGGAGGA